rnacentral:lncRNA from 1 species
UCUCACGUCACUCAGCCCCAACGCACACAUCUCACUCUAGCCUCUUCCCUCUAUUACCCCAUGAUCACACAUCCACAACAUCAUAUACACACACGAUCUCACCUUCACAUCUCUGAAGGCAUAAUCCCAUUUACUAUAUAAAAGGACACGAAAGAGAGGAGGAGAUUGAAAGAAAAGGGGGACAUCUUGGAACAGAAGGAAGUAACAACGAGAAAGAGAAAGGGAGUUUACAGACGGAGUUCGAGAUUUUAUUUGCGAUCUUAAAUUUGAGGUUCUAAAAUAGUUAGCAUUAUUAACUUUAGAAAUUAAUAAAUUAUGGUUGUUAUUUUUAUUGUAAAAAGCUUUAGGAAUUUCCUUAUCUAACAUGAAUUUUUUUUUUAUUGGUUCUGAUUAAUUUUAGUUUUAUCUUUUUAUUUCCAUCUCUAGAACUGUUGUCACCGGGGGUCGAUUGGAAACAGCUUCUCUGCCCUUUCGAGUAGGGGUAAGGCUUGUCUACAUAUUACCCUCCCCAGACCCCAACUAGUGGAAGUAUACUGGGUAGUAAUUAUUGUUGUUGUUGCUUUGUUCUAGUUCCGGUUUUUUUCUUUUUAGUAAAACAAUUGUAUUGUACAAUGUUAGUAGUCUUAAGUUUAUUUCAAAUGUUUGAUUCAUCACAAUAUUAGUUGUGACAUACGAGGUAGUGAGGGACGUAUGUGCAUGAAAGCACACUGGUUUGGUGAUACAAAUAAGUCCUAAGCAGUAACAAAAAUAAAAAUAUUCAGCUGUAAUGGAAAGUUACUGAGUAGCAUUUUAUCUUGGCUUUAUACAUAAUUUACCACCCAAUCAUUGGCCCAAAUCCCCCUUAUACACUUUCUGUGGACAAUAAUAACCUUAUACAAAAAAUCUUUCUAAAGUGUACUUAGUAUCCACCUCCUUUGACCAGAUCCUCUUAAUAAGAACUCUGUGUAUGUCAC